CAGCUAGUAGUUUAUUUAAGAAUGUUAAUUUUGGGUGUUAGAGGUAUAGAGUAUUUUCUAUUUUGUUGA
rnacentral:tRNA from 1 species